rnacentral:rRNA from 1 species
UGAGCAAUCUGCCCUUCUCAUCGGAAUAAGCGUUGGAAACGACGUCUAAUGCCGAAUACGACCUCCUUUCGUAUGAUCGGAGGUGGAAAGCUCCGGCGGAGAAGGAUGAGCUCGCGGCCUAUCAGCUAGUUGGUGUGGGUAAUGGCCCACCAAGGCGACGACGGGUAGCCGGCCUGAGGAGGGUGACCCGGCCACACUGGGACUGAGACACGGCCCAGACCUCCGUACGGGAGG